CCCCGACUUCCAGCAGCUUCCAGCGGCCCCCUCCCCACCUCGCGCGCUCUCGCUCCAGACAGCUGCGCGACCCAAUCGCGGCGCGACGCCCUGACGCCCGCAGCCAAUCAGAGAGCUUCGGCCGCGCCACGCCCCUCCCCCGUGCCGAGGACCCCGGGCGAGGGCGCCGAGGCGCGGCCCGGGCCGUCGCCGGAGAACGGCUGGCGGGCGUCGUGGGGCGCGCUCCUCGGGUGGGAGCAUGAAAGAGCGUCUUUGCCCCUCACUCCUCGGUUUCUCCUCCCUGGAAUGUCGCGGCCCCCCACCCCUCUCUAGGAGAGACGGCAGACAACAAAGGGGCCCGGGGUGGCGGCCAGAGGGACGAUGUGAGGGACGCCGCCGAGCCAGCGCCAGGAAAAGUAGAGGAAGCGCACAGGUGGCUGAGCAUACAAACUGAAGAAAAAAUUGAAAUGCCAUUUUAAAAACUUGAAAGAUGUUGGAAGUGAAAAAAAAAAGGCCUUGUUAAAAAGAAGAAGAAGAAGAAAUAAAUAAAUAAAUAAAUCUUGGGCUGAGAAAAUCUGCAAAUAAGCAUAUAAUUGGCUCUGAGUUUCUUGGGGAUGAAGACAAAGAGGGAAACACACUGAUUACAUAUUUUUCAGUGUCUUAGAAAAUGAAACACUCCAGUCCAUCAUGAAACAAUUGUUUUCUGGCUCUCCUGUCUGUGAGCAACUUCUCAAGUGGGUGGAUUUAGUAAGUAGCACGCCGGAC
rnacentral:lncRNA from 1 species